rnacentral:lncRNA from 1 species
ACUGGUUCACAAUAACGUCUUGUUUUAGUUGAACGUAGAAAGUGAAGAAAUCACAUUACAAUAUAUUACAAAAUUAAUGUCAUACACUGCCAAUUACAUAAGCAUCACUCAAUCCAUAUAUCUUCACACCCAUCUCGAAUAUUUUGACCGCCUAACUCACCCACCAGUUCAUCAAAUGUGUCAACAUUUGGCAUCCCUCUAGUAAAUGGCUCACACUCAAUUAUCACAUCACCUAAGACUUC